AUACUUACCUGCAGGGAGAUACCAUGAUCUGGAAGGUGGUUUGCCCAGUGCAAGGCUCAUCUCUUGCACUCCUGGUGUGCUGAACCCUGCAGUUUCCCCAAACGUGGGAAACUUGAUGGCAUAACUCAUGGUAGUAGGGGACUGUGUUCACCCUUUCUCCUA
ensembl:snRNA U1 U1 spliceosomal RNA